AGAGUUUGAUCAUGGCUCAGAUUGAACGCUGGCGGCAGGCCUAACACAUGCAAGUCGAACGGUAACAGGAAGCAGCUUGCUGCUUUGCUGACGAGUGGCGGACGGGUGAGUAAUGUCUGGGAAACUGCCUGAUGGAGGGGGAUAACUACUGGAAACGGUGGCUAAUACCGCAUAACGUCGCAAGACCAAAGAGGGGGACCUUCGGGCCUCUUGCCAUCAGAUGUGCCCAGAUGGGAUUAGCUAGUUGGUGAGGUAACGGCUCACCAAGGCGACGAUCCCUAGCUGGUCUGAGAGGAUGACCAGCCACACUGGAACUGAGACACGGUCCAGACUCCUACGGGAGGCAGCAGUGGGGAAUAUUGCACAAUGGGCGCAAGCCUGAUGCAGCCAUGCCGCGUGUAUGAAGAAGGCCUUCGGGUUGUAAAGUACUUUCAGCGGGGAGGAAGGUGUUGUGGUUAAUAACCGCAGCAAUUGACGUUACCCGCAGAAGAAGCACCGGCUAACUCCGUGCCAGCAGCCGCGGUAAUACGGAGGGUGCAAGCGUUAAUCGGAAUUACUGGGCGUAAAGCGCACGCAGGCGGUCUGUCAAGUCGGAUGUGAAAUCCCCGGGCUCAACCUGGGAACUGCAUUCGAAACUGGCAGGCUUGAGUCUUGUAGAGGGGGGUAGAAUUCCAGGUGUAGCGGUGAAAUGCGUAGAGAUCUGGAGGAAUACCGGUGGCGAAGGCGGCCCCCUGGACAAAGACUGACGCUCAGGUGCGAAAGCGUGGGGAGCAAACAGGAUUAGAUACCCUGGUAGUCCACGCCGUAAACGAUGUCUACUUGGAGGUUGUGCCCUUGAGGCGUGGCUUCCGGAGCUAACGCGUUAAGUAGACCGCCUGGGGAGUACGGCCGCAAGGUUAAAACUCAAAUGAAUUGACGGGGGCCCGCACAAGCGGUGGAGCAUGUGGUUUAAUUCGAUGCAACGCGAAGAACCUUACCUGGUCUUGACAUCCACAGAACUUUCCAGAGAUGGAUUGGUGCCUUCGGGAACUGUGAGACAGGUGCUGCAUGGCUGUCGUCAGCUCGUGUUGUGAAAUGUUGGGUUAAGUCCCGCAACGAGCGCAACCCUUAUCCUUUGUUGCCAGCGGUCCGGCCGGGAACUCAAAGGAGACUGCCAGUGAUAAACUGGAGGAAGGUGGGGAUGACGUCAAGUCAUCAUGGCCCUUACGACCAGGGCUACACACGUGCUACAAUGGCGCAUACAAAGAGAAGCGACCUCGCGAGAGCAAGCGGACCUCAUAAAGUGCGUCGUAGUCCGGAUUGGAGUCUGCAACUCGACUCCAUGAAGUCGGAAUCGCUAGUAAUCGUGGAUCAGAAUGCCACGGUGAAUACGUUCCCGGGCCUUGUACACACCGCCCGUCACACCAUGGGAGUGGGUUGCAAAAGAAGUAGGUAGCUUAACCUUCGGGAGGGCGCUUACCACUUUGUGAUUCAUGACUGGGGUGAAGUCGUAACAAGGUAACCGUAGGGGAACCUGCGGUUGGAUCACCU
rnacentral:rRNA from 2 species